rnacentral:rRNA from 1 species
AUUGAACGCUGGCGGCAUGCCUUACACAUGCAAGUCGAACGGUAGAGGGGGCAACCCCUUGAGAGUGGCGAACGGGGGAGUAAUGCAUCGGAACGUGCCCAGUUGUGGGGGAUAACACUUCGAAAGAAGUGCUAAUACCGCAUACGACCUGAGGGUGAAAGGGGGGGAUUCGCAAGAACCUCCCGCAAUUGGAGCGGCCGAUGUCAGAUUAGGUAGUUGGUGGGGUAAAAGCCUACCAAGCCGACGCUCUGUAGCUGGGCUGAGAGGACGACCGGCCACACUGGUAGUGAGACACGGCCCAGGCUCCUACGGGAGGCAGGAGUGGGGAAUUGUGGACAGUGGACGCAGGUCUGAUCCAGCCAUGCGGCGUGCAGGAAGAAGGCCUUCGGGUUGUAAACUGCUGUUGUCAGGGAAGAAAUCCUCUGGGCUAAUAUCCUGGGGUAAUGACGGUACCUGAAGAAUAAGCACCGGCUAACUACGUGCCAGCAGCCGCAGUAA